rnacentral:lncRNA from 1 species
GCUUGUGGUUGCUAUGGCCGGGCUGACCUCAAUCUCUGUGGUUUGAGGGACUUAAGCAGUCAUUUUUUUCUUUUCUUUUCUUUUCUUUUCUUUCUUUUUUUCUUUUCUUUUUUUUUUUUUUAAUUGAAGAGCAUGUACCUUGAUUUAUGUCCAAAACUGUAGCUGAAUGUCUUUGUCCGCGGGUGAUAUAUGGUGCAGAACAAUUCAUCUGUUCUUACGAGUAAACACCGCUGUCCCACUAAAAAUAUGUUUUGUUCGGAGUUAAUGGUAUGGAACAGGGCAUUCUCCACAAACUGCUAUCUUUUAUUGUGUUGGGGCCGCGGAAACGCUGAGCAAAGUGCAGGAAAUUGGCAUCAGUCCUCGCGUCUAUUAGCAUUUCAUUUGUGAGUCGCAUGAUAAGACGCAUGGACUAUCCUCAGGAAAAUGAGAUCCAGGAAGAGUGACGCCCUCCUCGAACUGAAAGAUACUCAGGCUGAUGGAGUCAGGGAGGAAGUGGUUUAUCAACAGCACAGGAUGUGUGCAGGGAACAGAACUUUUUCAGACAUGCCCCAGAUUGUCUGCCCAUGGGGACUGAGGUACCUCUGAGAUUUACAGCAGAGAGGAAGGAGAGGCUGUUUCUACAGGUGCCACAGAAAAAUCGAUGCUGAGCCACGGAUUAUUGGAUCUCAUAGAACCGUGGAGACUUGGCAGUGAAAUUCUUCCAAAGCAUUCCAUCUGCACAGGCAGAGGUGUUCCUGGUUUGGGAAGUAUAAAUCCCGUGGGAAGUCAACUGGAGGACAUUUUACGCAU